rnacentral:rRNA from 1 species
UACCGGGUGGCGACCGGCGCACGGGUGAGUAACGCGUAUGCAACUUACCUAUCAGAGGGGGAUAACCCGGCGAAAGUCGGAUUAAUACCCCAUAAAACAGGGGUCCCGCAUGGGAAUAUUUGUUAAAGAUUCAUCGCUGAUAGAUAGGCAUGCGUUCCAUUAGGCAGUUGGCGGGGUAACGGCCCACCAAACCGACGAUGGAUAGGGGUUCUGAGAGGAAGGUCCCCCACAUUGGUACUGAGACACGGACCAA